rnacentral:ncRNA from 1 species
GUACGAUAAUAGCAAAGCUAUCUGAAAAGUAGUGACGCAAAACUAAAGGGGCUAAAACGUUGAGUCAUGCCAGCCAGUUGCCGAA